rnacentral:rRNA from 1 species
AUGGCCGCAGUAUUUUGACUGUGCAAAGGUAGCAUAAUUAUUAGUUUUUUAAUUGAAAGCUUGUAUGAAGGGUUGGACGAGAUAAAAUCUGUCUUUAUUUAAAUUAAAAUAGAAUUUAACUUUUAAGUCAAAAGGCUUAAAUGUUUAUAAAAGACGAGAAGACCCUAUAGAUCUUUAUUAAAUUUAAACUUUGAUAAUUUAAGAUUAUUUUAAUUUAAAGUUUUAAUUUAAUUUUAUUGGGGUAAUAUAAAGAUUAAAUAAAUUCUUUUUAUUAAUAACAUUAAUUUAUGUAUGUAUGAUCCAUUAUUAUUGAUUAUAAGAUUAAGUUACCUUAGGGAUAACAGCGUAAUUUUUUUGGAGAGCUCAUAUCGAUAAAAAAGUUUGCGACCUCGAUGUUGGAUUAAAAAUUAGCUUGGGUGCAGAAGCUCAAGAUUUUGGUCUGUUCGACCAUUAAAUUUUUACAUGAUCUGAGU